rnacentral:rRNA from 1 species
CCUACGGGAGGCAGCAGUGAGGAAUAUUGGUCAAUGGACGAGAGUCUGAACCAGCCAAGUAGCGUGAAGGAUGACUGCCCUAUGGGUUGUAAACUUCUUUUAUAUGGGAAUAAAAUGUUCCACGUGUGGGAUUUUGUAUGUACCAUAUGAAUAAGGAUCGGCUAACUCCGUGCCAGCAGCCGCGGUAAUACGUAGGAUCCGAGCGUUAUCCGGAUUUAUUGGGUUUAAAGGGAGCGUAGGUGGAUUGUUAAGUCAGUUGUGAAAGUUUGCGGCUCAACCGUAAAAUUGCAGUUGAAACUGGAAGUCUUGAGUACAGUAGAGGUGGGCGGAAUUCGCGGUGUAGCGGUGAAAUGCUUAGAUAUCACGAAGAACUCCGAUUGCGAAGGCAGCUCACUGGACUGCAACUGACACUGAGGCUCGAAAGUGUGGGUAUCAAACAGGAUUAGAUACCCCAGUAGUC